GGCGGGAUUCCCGAGCGGUCAAAGGGGAUGGACUGUAAAUCCAUUGGCUCAGCCUUCGCAGGUUCGAAUCCUGCUCCCGCCA
rnacentral:tRNA from 2 species